rnacentral:rRNA from 1 species
UACGUAGGUCCCGAGCGUUGUCCGGAUUUAUUGGGCGUAAAGCGAGCGCAGGUGGUUUAAUAAGUCUGAUGUAAAAGGCAGUGGCUCAACCAUUGUGUGCAUUGGAAACUGUUAGACUUGAGUGCAGUAGAGGAGAGUGGAAUUCCAUGUGUAGCGGUGAAAUGCGUAGAUAUAUGGAGGAACACCAGUGGCGAAGGCGGCUCUCUGGCCUGUAACUGACACUGAGGCUCGAAAGCGUGGGUAGCAAACAGG